CCUACGGGUGGCUGCAGUGAGGAAUAUUGGUCAAUGGGCGCGAGCCUGAACCAGCCAAGUAGCGUGAAGGAUGACUGCCCUACGGGUUGUAAACUGCUUUUAUAAAGGACUAAAGUGAGCCACGUUUGCCCUUUUGUAUUUACUUUAUGAAUAAGGUCCGGCUAACUCCGUGCCAGCAGCCGCGGUAAUACGGAGGAUCCGAGCGUUAUCCGGAUUAAUUGGGUUUAAAGGGAGCGUAGGUGGGGUGUUAAGUCAGUUGUGAAAGCUUGGGGCUCAACCGUAAAGUUGCAAUUGAAACUGGAAGCCUAGAGUACAGAUGAGGUAGGCGGAAUGCGUGGUGUAGCGGUGAAAUGCAUAGAUAUCACGAAGAACUCCGAUUGCGAAGGCAGCCUACUAAUCUGCGACUGACGUUGAUGCUCGAAAGUGUGGGUAUCAAACAGGAUUAGAUACCCGAGUAGUC
rnacentral:rRNA from 1 species